UACGUAGGGGGCAAGCGUCGUCCGGAAUUAUUGGGCGUAAAGAGCUCGUAGGCGGUUCGUCGCGUCGGCUGUGAAAACCCGAGGCUCAACCUCGGGCCUGCAGUCGAUACGGGCGGACUGGAGUUCGGCAGGGGAGACUGGAAUUCCUGGUGUAGCGGUGAAAUGCGCAGAUAUCAGGAGGAACACCGGUGGCGAAGGCGGGUCUCUGGGCCGAUACUGACGCUGAGGAGCGAAAGCGAGGGGAGCGAACAGG
rnacentral:rRNA from 1 species